GAACAGACAAUGACUAAAUUCCACCAGAGGCAAUUAAAAAUCCCAACUCUCCACAAAGCGUUCCCUACACCAAACGGAAUCCCUUCGCUUCCACUCCAACGCAGAAAGUAAUCUGGGCUUGAAGGCGGGUAUGGACUAUGAUAUUUCAAAUAAAAGGAGACGAAGGAACUGAACUGAAACUACAGAGGCAAAGCAAUGUGACCCAAAGGGAAAGAAGACGUUAACACUACCCUGUAGGCAUUAUAGAGAAAUUACUGAAUCCUGUGUUUUGUUCCACGAGAUCCAGAUUUAUCAACAAAGCCUUUAAAAUGUUAUUAGGGGCCCACAUUUAACCCAGACUUCAAAGAAUUUAGAAGAGUUCAAAGCCACAAAAUGGAAGAAUCUUGGGGCCCCAAAUUAAUCCUUGGAGGAAUGCUGCCCAAGAGAACUACAUGACCAGGAAAACCUGUGUUGGAUUUUAUUUGUUUUUAUUAAA